rnacentral:misc_RNA from 1 species
ACCUCUCAACCCCGCUCUCUUUAAUUAGAAAGUAGUUUAGGGCUUGGAUCGUGCUGCGUGUGGUUAAGUCCACUGCGGUGAAAUACAACAAGCUGGAUCCUUAUCUUGCGGCUUGACCCGUUGUUAUAAACUUGAAAACCAAUGGGAACGCAACUAAAGGAAUGGGCUUACCAUAAAUUUAUUACUACAAGUGCAUU